rnacentral:rRNA from 1 species
CCUACGGGCGGCAGCAGUGAGGAAUUUUGGUCAAUGGACGAGAGUCUGAACGAGCCAAGUAGCGUGAAGGAUGACUGCCCUAUGGGUUGUAAACUUCUUUUAUAAAGGAAUAAAACGAGGCACGUGUGCCUUUUUGCAUGUACUUUAUGAAUUAGGAUCGGCUAACUCCGUGCCAGCAGCCGCGGUAAUACGGAGGAUCCGAGCGUUAUCCGGAUUUAUUGGGUUUAAAGGGAGCGUAGUUGGGUUGUUAAGUCAGGUGUGAAAGUUUGCGGCUCAACCGUAAAAUUGCAAUUGAUACUGGCAGUCUUGAGUGCAGUAGAGGUGGGCGGAAUUCGAGGUGUAGCGGUGAAAUGCUUAGAUAUCACGAAGAACCCCGAUUGCGAAGGCAGCUUACUGGACUGUAACUGACAUUGAUGCUCGAAAGUGUGGGUAUCAAACAGGAUUAGAUACCCGGGUAGUC